CAGUACUUCUCAGUAAAUGGGUGAGUUAGCUUGGCACUUUAAUUUGACUGUUCAGUGAGCUGCUUUUAAAAUCUAGACAAAUUAAUACCAAUAGCUUUUUCCGACGUUUGGAUAUUUUUAUGUUUAUUCCUUGACAAUGAAAACAUCCAUUUUGACACUUGAGUUCAAAAGCAGAAGGGGCAGUUGUGCUGCAAACUCUCAUCCCCAAUUAGUCCACGUGGCAGCCAGCAGCAAGUGCAGUAAGACAGUUCAGGUUCUCAGCUGUCAUAUCAGAUAAAAUCCUUUUCAAGCUAUCAUGUAUGAAUUCAGGAAUUUGUAUUUCCUGGAAACAGGUGUUGAAAUCUCACCAGGGAAGUGUUUAUCCUGGCUUUUUGAAGUAUUCACACAGGAGGAGGCAAGUUAUAGAAUUUUUGUAACAUUUUUACCACUUUAUUCCACCCAAAAAAUGCAAGUCCUUCUGGACCUGCACAAACAAACAAAAGCGUGAAGCUGGAAGUGGGCAUAUAUACUGUGAAAUAUGCAAGAUUUUUAUUGAUUUAUUUUUUUGCUCCCACAAAGCUCAUUGUGUAGGCUUUCCCAGGGAAAUAGAUAGAUCAACACUGUUAAGUAUGGUGAGGAAGAAUGAAAAUUCCCUAUACAUGAUUUCCUCCCUUUUCCUUCCCCUAUAUCCCCGGCUACUGCCUUCAUAAAAACACAGCGUAGAUUUUUUUGGUUGUUGAAAAGGGGUUUUAUUUUGAGAAGUGAGGGGAGGUUGUUCUGUGGAAUAAGCAGUACAACAUUAUAAAAACUACAGAUUCUCAAAAUGCAUUUGCACUCUGCUGAAAUGGUGGCGUUGACCCUGCUGGUAGUUUCUUUCACUUGGUGAAUUGUAUUGCACCUCAUCAAAUGCUGAAGAUGAGCAUUGCCCUUCUCCACAAAAGCGGCAGAUGCAGAGAAAAAUCACCACAGAAAAACAGACAGCGCUCCAGCUCAGUGUCCUGCUCAAGGUAAGCCAAUGGCUCAGCUAAUGGCUGAGAGGUGCAUGCCCAAAGGGGUGAUUGUGGCAUUGCAUCGUGAAGUUUGCAAGCAGUCGAUUAUGCCUGAUACCUGCUGAAUGUGGUUAUGGAGAAGGGGGCUUUUCAUGGAGAAAUGCUGACAGGCAAUACUUUGAUCACAUAGUGAUGAGAAAGAGUUAGAGAAUGGAAGAAUAAUAUUCGGAUUGCAACAGAACAAUGAAAAUGCAGAGGCUGCCUUUGACUUUUACAAGAAACUCUACGUUAUAAAAUGCAAAAGGAGAUCUAUGUAGGGAUGAGUGAGGGUUGGAUAGAAAAGAAACUCGUUGGCUGUAAAAUUUCUGACUCAUUAACUGCAGAAAAUGAAGUGUGAGGUAAAAAAGGCUGAUUUAUACCUUUGGAACCUGAUUGACAACUGUUUUGAUUUUCUGCAAUGAACUGAAAUUUUAAAUUAACCUGAACAAGAAAAGAAGGAGAAGAAGAUGGAGUGAGAACAAUAAUACACAGCAUUUACUUCUUGCUUUGUGUUUAGCAGGGAGCUUUUGCAGUUGAGGUUUACUUUUCUCUUCAGAGUAAUGGUAAUGUAGAUGUUCAUCCCAGUGCAUCUGUAAACUUUAUAUUGUAGCAAGUAGGCAGUCACUGAAAAGUAUUUAUCUACUGUAUUCACUUGAGAGCAAAAUAAACAUGUUGACCUUCAAUUCUUCCCCCUUUUAGCUUUCUUCUUAUCAGAGGAUGUCAGCAUUUAGCACAAGGACAAAUGCCUGCAUUUUUGUGAGGAAUGUAGACAAUGCUGUCAUGAAACAAAUAGCCUCUAGGAGGAAAAAAAUGGAAGCCUUUCAGAAGGCUUAAUGUGUAAAAGAGGCAGUUUCAGUGAACCCAUCACUGUAUGUCAAAUGCCUAAAUAAGGGGAGAAAAGCCCUUUGGAGAAAUAGAUUUCCCACUCCCCUGAACUGCAAUAUUUUACUGAAGCGUUUAUACACGUGUCAAUGAUAAAAUCUUAAAAUGCUUCAUCUAUUCUAAUGCAAUAUGCAUUUUCCUCUUUAGGCUUAUUAUACCACUUAUUUUCUUAAUUAUUCAUGAUGUUUAGCACAUGAUAUGGUACAGCGACUGAAAACAGAAGCCAGCCUCCUACACAACCAUGUGAGCGGAAUACCAGAUAUGGUUCUUUCCUACCACAUAGCCUUGAUUAACAAUUUUAGACUGGCUAGUAUUCUCUUCUUCUCCUGACUCUUUUAGAAUCAAGGUAACAUGCCAUCUAAAACAGCUUUAAAAUUUAAUUAUUCCAAGGGUAGUAAGCAAUAUAAUUUGCACUGUUCUGAUGGGAAAAGGAUAUUUCACACUUACAUAGUUUUGGAAAGCAAUUGCAUCAUUUUAAAGCUACCGGAGAUUUGAUGUCAUUGCCAUAACUUUUGUCUGUAAAAGUUGCUGCUGAUUCUCUCUUAUGGACCGAAAUUUGUGAAUAUCUUUUGAAACAAUUAUGGAAAUCUAUGGGAUAAAGCCUCAGACCUAUAAGGAGGAAUGUGUCUUUAGUCGCAAAACUUCCAAAAGAAAUAUUGGAAGUCUUGCAUCUGUUCCAACAUGCUGCCUUGUUUGCAGGAUAACUGUUACUGCUUUAGCAGUUUCUAUCACCAUAUGUGUACAACAAGUAAAUGAACAUAAAAUUGAAUGAACACAUAAAAGAGGGCUAAACCCACUCAGCUUAACAAAUCCAUCUUCCCGCCCGCUGUGUGCUGGAACACGAACAGAGCAUUGUUUGGAUCAUAAGGAUUAGUAAAAUAACAGUCUUGGUGAACAACAUGGUCAUGUGGAGGAAAAGAUUUUCUUAAAUCAGUGUGUGAUAGCUGGGAUACUAGUGGUUGUACUUAAUUCAUU